UUGAACGCUGGCGGCAUGCCUUACACAUGCAAGUCGAACGGCAGCACGGGUGCUUGCACCUGGUGGCGAGUGGCGAACGGGUGAGUAAUACAUCGGAACAUGUCCUGUAGUGGGGGAUAGCCCGGCGAAAGCCGGAUUAAUACCGCAUACGAUCUACGGAUGAAAGCGGGGGACCUUCGGGCCUCGCGCUAUAGGGUUGGCCGAUGGCUGAUUAGCUAGUUGGUGGGGUAAAGGCCUACCAAGGCGACGAUCAGUAGCUGGUCUGAGAGGACGACCAGCCACACUGGGACUGAGACACGGCCCAGACUCCUACGGGAGGCAGCAGUGGGGAAUUUUGGACAAUGGGCGAAAGCCUGAUCCAGCAAUGCCGCGUGUGUGAAGAAGGCCUUCGGGUUGUAAAGCACUUUUGUCCGGAAAGAAAUCCUUGGCUCUAAUACAGUCGGGGGAUGACGGUACCGGAAGAGUAAGCACCGGCUAACUACGUGCCAGCAGCCGCGGUAAUACGUAGGGUGCGAGCGUUAAUCGGAAUUACUGGGCGUAAAGCGUGCGCAGGCGGUUUGCUAAGACCGAUGUGAAAUCCCCGGGCUCAACCUGGGAACUGCAUUGGUGACUGGCAGGCUAGAGUAUGGCAGAGGGGGGGUAGAAUUCCCACGUGUAGCAGUGAAAUGCGUAGAGAUGUGGAGGAAUACCGAUGGCGAAGGCAGCCCCCUGGGCCAAUACUGACGCUCAUGCACGAAAGCGUGGGGGGAGCAAACAGGAUUAGAUACCCUGGUAGUCCACGCCCUAAACGAUGUCAACUAGUUGUUGGGGAUUCAUUUCCUUAGUAACGUAGCUAACGCGUGAAGUUGACCGCCUGGGGAGUACGGUCGCAAGAUUAAAACUCAAAGGAAUUGACGGGGACCCGCACAAGCGGUGGAUGAUGUGGAUUAAUUCGAUGCAACGCGAAAAACCUUACCUACCCUUGACAUGGUCGGAAUCCUGCUGAGAGGUGGGAGUGCUCGAAAGAGAACCGGCGCACAGGUGCUGCAUGGCUGUCGUCAGCUCGUGUCGUGAGAUGUUGGGUUAAGUCCCGCAACGAGCGCAACCCUUGUCCUUAGUUGCUACGCAAGAGCACUCUAAGGAGACUGCCGGUGACAAACCGGAGGAAGGUGGGGAUGACGUCAAGUCCUCAUGGCCCUUAUGGGUAGGGCUUCACACGUCAUACAAUGGUCGGAACAGAGGGUUGCCAACCCGCGAGGGGGAGCUAAUCCCAGAAAACCGAUCGUAGUCCGGAUUGCACUCUGCAACUCGAGUGCAUGAAGCUGGAAUCGCUAGUAAUCGCGGAUCAGCAUGCCGCGGUGAAUACGUUCCCGGGUCUUGUACACACCGC
rnacentral:rRNA from 1 species